rnacentral:rRNA from 1 species
GAUGAACGCUGGCGGCGUGCUUAACACAUGCAAGUCGAACGGGAAACAUUUUAUUGAAGCUUCGGCAGAUUUAGCUUGUUUCUAGUGGCGGACGGGUGAGUAACGCGUGGGUAACCUGCCUCACACUGGGGGAUAACAGUCAGAAAUGACUGCUAAUACCGCAUAAGCGCACGGGACCGCAUGGUUUGUGUGAAAAACUCCGGUGGUGUGAGAUGGACCCGCGUUGGAUUAGCCAGUUGGCAGGGUAACGGCCUACCAAAGCGACGAUCCAUAGCCGGCCUGAGAGGGUGAACGGCCACAUUGGGACUGAGACACGGCCCAG